rnacentral:rRNA from 1 species
UACAGAGGGGGCAAGCGUUGUUCGGAAUUACUGGGCGUAAAGGGCGCGUAGGCGGCCUUCUAAGUCAGACGUGAAAUCCCUCGGCUCAACCGGGGAACUGCGUCUGAGACUGGAAGGCUUGAAUCCGGGAGAGGGAUGUGGAAUUCCAGGUGUAGCGGUGAAAUGCGUAGAUAUCUGGAGGAACACCGGUGGCGAAGGCGGCAUCCUGGACCGACACUGACGCUGAUGCGCGAAAGCCAGGGGAGCAAACGGG